GGUAGCUAGCCGGUGGCUAACCUGCCUCCGGGCUGCUGGUCUGGUCUGAGUGAUGAGAGAAGUCGUAACUGAACCGUCAGCUCAGUCUUCAGUUAAACAGUUGAUCUCCACAGUGAAACAUCAAGAAACAACAAACAGGUACAGAGUCCGGACCCUCGUCCAGUAGGACGGCUGUCUCUGGGACGUCGGAGGUGGGCGUGUCCGGCGGCUCUUGAGAGAGAUCUUCAGAGCAUCGGCUCACAGUGGGUGAGAUCACAUCUGGACUUGUGUCACAGGACUCUGUGCUCUGCUCCGAGGUGGCUGUUGUAAUUCUUGUGGCAGCACUGCGGGGAACUGGGUCGAACUCAUCAUCGUCGUCCUCCAGGACGGGUGACUCAUGGAUAUCUGACAGAAAAACAGAGAUAUCUUUACUUAAGCUGAUUUAGGGACGUUAACUGUGGUUAUAAAAUGAUGAAGAAGAUGUCUAACUCACUGCUGAAAGCUUCCGGGUACUGCUUAGCAAUCUUCCCUUUAAGUGUCCUGGAGAAGCAGAGGAGGCCAAUAAUCAGAGGUUGACUGUGUGAUUGUGUUAGGAUGACCAGAUCCCAACAAACCAAAUGUGGGACAAAUGUGGGACACGUUACCAAGGCUGAGAGGAAGUCUACAAUUUAGAUAUACUGUCUAUCUAACUUAAAUAAUAAACAUUUAUAUUCUGCCCCUU